GGCUGUGGCACGCAUGCACCCUGCUGCUAGGGGUAGGGUCUUGGCUCCCAUUCCAAGGGCUUCUAGCACCUAGGGCUGUGAGGGUUGUGGAGUCUGCUCUGUUGAGAAAUGAGCUCGUCUGACGAUGAUGAGGGGCCGACUUCACUGGACUGGCCGCCCUCCGACCUGGAGCCCUCCGACCUGUCCUCGGACGAGUUCCAGGAGACACCACACAUGAAGCUAUCUUGCCCGUCCUAACAUCACGGAGGAUACAACAUUCGGGAUCUGGAUACCAAGACCUCUCAAGUUCCAGGAAAUUCACUGCCUUUGGCCAUGGCACAGGGAAGUGUCAAGCCCAGAGCAUCCCCACCUUCAGCACUCCUGAUCUCUCCUUGCUACCUUCACCUGCAUCAUGCCCACAGAUUUUGCUCUCCUGCUUCAGUGGAUCAAGGCUCCAGUGUGCUUCUGAGUUACUUCUCAGAAUCCUCCUGGUGAGAGGUGGGUGAAAAGGACAGCUUGUUUCCACCAGUAGCCCUGAGACCAGGUAGAGAGGCUGGGUACACAUCUGGCUAUGAGAAUGUGAGUCUUGGCAGUUUCCAGCCCUGGAAUCAAGAUAACCUUUAUCCGCCUUUUCCUGCUGCGCUGAUGAAGUGAAGAAGGCCUUGGAGUAGGACAGCAGCCACUUCCUGGCACACUACAGCAGAGAGACUUAUGGGUGUUGUAGGAGCUCCAAGAACAGAAGACUCUUGGCACGGUGAUGAGGAGCUUGGAAGGAAAGCAAGGAAGGCUCCUGGGCAGGAGUUUUAACUGGCAUCAGGAGUGCCAGCCAAUGUUUCCUCAGGGACUGGGGAUUGAGCAAACCCCUUUCCUGACAGAGGAGCAGGUUGGGACUGGCACUGAGAACAGAAGGCCAUAUAUAUGGUGGGGCUGCUGAGCUAGUCCUGAUCACCCUGUGGCAUGUUGGGGGGCUUUGGGUUCUCUUUCAGGGUGUCAGGACUGUGAGCAAGAGCAGUCUUGUGCUCCCUGCACAGCCAGGCAAACUGGGCCUUCCAGAUGACCUUGAACAGGGUUUGCCAAGGCUGAACCUCCAAGUCUCCAACUCAGCAAUAAGGCCCUGAUGGCAGCCACAUAAAAAGCACAGCAUGGAAUAAAGUAUGAAGCAACGCUGGCCA
rnacentral:lncRNA from 1 species